GGGCCCGUAGCUUAGUCUGGUGGAGCGUCAGGCUCAUAGGGACCUCCUAGGUUCUGAGACACCCGAUGGUCGCCGGUUCAAAUCCGGUCGGGCCCA
rnacentral:tRNA from 1 species